AUUGAACGCUGGCGGCAGGCUUAACACAUGCAAGUCGAGCGGGGUGAUGGUGCUUGCACUAUCACUUAGCGGCGGACGGGUGAGUAAUGCUUAGGAAUCUGCCUAUUAGUGGGGGACAACAUCUCGAAAGGGAUGCUAAUACCGCAUACGUCCUACGGGAGAAAGUAGGGGAUCACUUGUGACCUUGCGCUAAUAGAUGAGCCUAAGUCGGAUUAGCUAGUUGGUGGGGUAAAGGCCUACCAAGGCGACGAUCUGUAGCGGGUCUGAGAGGAUGAUGCGCCACACUGGGACUGAGACACGGCCCAGACUCCUACGGGAGGCAGCAGUGGGGAAUAUUGGACAAUGGGGGGAACCCUGAUCCAGCCAUGCCGCGUGUGUGAAGAAGGCCUUAUGGUUGUAAAGCACUUUAAGCGAGGAGGAGGCUCUUUUGGUUAAUACCCAAGAUGAGUGGACGUUACUCGCAGAAUAAGCACCGGCUAACUCUGUGCCAGCCGCCGGGGUAA
rnacentral:rRNA from 1 species